rnacentral:rRNA from 1 species
CAGCAGCCGCGGGAAUACGUAGGGUGCGAGCGUUAAUCGGAAUUACUGGGCGUAAAGCGUGCGCAGGCGGUUGUGUAAGACAGGUGUGAAAUCCCCGGGCUUAACCUGGGAACUGCGCUUGUGACUGCACAGCUAGAGUAUGGCAGAGGGGGGUGGAAUUCCACGUGUAGCAGUGAAACGCGUAGAGAUGUGGAGGAACACCGAUGGCGAAGGCAGCCCCCUGGGCCAAUACUGACGCUCAUGCACGAAAGCGUGGGGAGCAAACAGGAUUAGAUACCCCCGUAGUCCCUGUCUCUUAUAC